rnacentral:rRNA from 1 species
UACGUAGGCGGAAAAUUAAGUCAGUAGUGAAAUCCUGCAGCUUAACUGUAGAACUGUUAUUGAUACUGGUUUUCUUGAAUAUAGUUGAGGUAGGCGGAAUGUGUAAUGUAGCGGUGAAAUGCUUAGAUAUUACAUAGAACACCGAUUGCGAAGGCAGCUUACUAAGCUAUGAUUGACGCUGAGGUACGAAAGCGUGGGGAGCGAACAGGAUUAGAUACCCUGGUAGUCC